UGAAGAGGCUCAUUAGUCAUUCAUCACGUAGAGAUGGUUAUUGCUGGACAAACACUGGCUUGUUAUGAACUGGCUUUCAUCAACACGUGCACUCAGUGAACAGGCAAAUACAACGACAGUGCCUUGGUGGUCGCCAUCAGCUGAACCUCAGUUGCAGCCUCGGAGCAACCACCAACGGGUCUGUAGAGCAAUAAUUCCAUGCUUUGAAGAGGGUCCAUACUUACUUACACUGAAUGGGAUCCCAAGACACUAAAUUACCUUCAAUGACAACUGAGAAGAAAUUUCUUUGGGACUUACAAAGCAAUCUGAACAACUGUGACUGUCAUAUUUUCACUGAUAGAAAUCCUUAUAUGGAACUGACAUACGAGAUGUAAUUAAAGAAGCUUCCCACAACUCCAGUUCAGACCAAAGUGCCGAGCUGAAGUAUGCAUACUGCAGAGCAUGGUGACACAAAGCUUAUGGAUGAUGGUAACAUUUUAAAUAAAGGCACAUGUUCAUAUCACAAAACACCAAAAUUACAACCAUAUUAUUUAACAAAUACUGUUUCAAAUUUACAGGUCUGAAAGUAAUAAAAUGAGAGAAAAACUACCUGUAGAAUUACAAGAGGUCGUAAGUUAUGGAUGUCUAACUUAUAAACAAACCUGUUAUGCUGUUGAUGGUAUAUAAUCAUUAGAUAAUGAUGUGGAUCAUUACACAAUUUAUAGAAACUUACUAGAUUCUGUUUUAAGCAUACAUUGAGAACCAAAAUCAGCAUACCAGAAAUAUCAUUGAACACAUAUGGCUUUUCUCCCUUAGGGUUGACUACUGAAUGUAUGAUAUACCUUCAAAGAUGUUUUGGACAAACAUUAUCUAAAUUACAAUAUUCUGUGAUAUGACGUCAUGUAGUUUGGUAGAUUAUGUUUUGGACAAGCCUUGACCCUGAGGAUGCAGGCAUAUACCAAACCACAUGAUGUCUCACAUCAGAAGACCAUAAUCUUCCUUUACACCACUGGGAACCUCAAAUCUCACAAAGCCAUUACCUACCUCAAUACUCUAAUAAUCUGAUCGCAUAAAUGCCAGUUCAUAUGUACAAACAAACCAGCUGCCAUUCUUGGUAACUAUACUUGCAGCAGUAGAACACAGUGUCUACACUUCAUGGGAUGUUCUGUGAAAGUCUUUCUCCUCCAUAGGGAAGGCAGUGCUCAAGUUAACAACACUUUGACACUAGCAGCAACAGUAGCAGUAGCAAUAGCAGCAGCAGUAGUAAUCAUAUUAGUAGUGGUGGUAGCAACAGCAGCAAUAAUUGUAACCUGUUUUCAUGCUUUGUGCCAUUACUGAUAUUACAAGAGUAUUGCUUUCAAUUAUUAUUCAUAUAUAAUCUACUAUAUUUCAGCUUGAUUAGGGUUAAAUAAGAUACUGUGAUCUAUUAUGGGAACCUUCACGACAUUUAUAACACUCUGUUUAUAGGAAUCAGGUUCAGAGAUCUGAAAAAAUGCAAUGGAACCCAUCUGUAACUUGGGGACUUCCUGCACUAUGAUGCUACACAAAGCAAACAAGUUUCUUCAAAUCUCAUACAAGCUUAUAAUAUGCCAGACACAUUCAAGUCAAUUUUGUGCAAAACAUAUAACACUACAUUUCUCACUCUCUGCCUCAAAUACAUCUAAUUUGCAUAUGCAAGAGAUAUCAUGUGCACCACAGUCAGUUACAUAAGGUAAGAUGCAUACAUGAGCCAUGUUUUAAUGUGAAAAUACAAAUAAUACUGUGACGUGUUGUGCUAUGCAGGACACCCCUCCUCCCACCAGCGGUGAUGUAAC